rnacentral:rRNA from 1 species
CUUGCUUCUCUUGAGAGCGGCGGACGGGUGAGUAAUGCCUAGGAAUCUGCCUGGUAGUGGGGGGUAACGUCCGGAAACGGACGCUAAUACCGCAUACGUCCUACGGGAGAAAGCAGGGGACCUUCGGGCCUUGCGCUAUCAGAUGAGCCUAGGUCGGAUUAGCUAGUUGGUGGGGUAAUGGCUCACCAAGGCGACGAUCCGUAACUGGUCUGAGAGGAUGAUCAGUCACACUGGAACUGAGACACGGUCCAGACUCCUACGGGAGGCAGCAGUGGGGAAUAUUGGACAAUGGGCGAAAGCCUGAUCCAGCCAUGCCGCGUGUGUGAAGAAGGUCUUCGGAUUGUAAAGCACUUUAAGUUGGGAGGAAGGGCAGUAAAUUAAUACUUUGCUGUUUUGACGUUACCGACAGAAUAAGCACCGGCUAACUCUGUGUCAGCAGCCGCGGUAAUACAGAGGGUGCAAGCGUUAAUCGGAAUUACUGGGCGUAAAGCGCGCGUAGGUGGUUCGUUAAGUUGGAUGUGAAAUCCCCGGGCUCAACCUGGGAACUGCAUUCAAAACUGACGAGCUAGAGUAUGGUAGAGGGUGGUGGAAUUUCCUGUGUAGCGGUGAA